CCUACGGGUGGCAGCAGUGAGGAAUAUUGGUCAAUGGACGAGAGUCUGAACCAGCCAAGUAGCGUGAAGGAUGACUGCCCUAUGGGUUGUAAACCUCUUUUGUCAGGGAGCAAUUGGCGCUACGUGUAGCGUUAUCGAGAGUACCUGAAGAAAAAGCAUCGGCUAACUCCGUGCCAGCAGCCGCGGUAAUACGGAGGAUGCGAGCGGUAUCCGGAUUUAUUGGGUUUAAAGGGUGCGUAGGCGGAAUGCCAAGUCAGCGGUAAAAUCGCGGGGCUCAACCUCGCUCCGCCGUUGAAACUGGCGUUCUUGAGUGGGCGAGAAGUAUGCGGAAUGCGUGGUGUAGCGGUGAAAUGCAUAGAUAUCACGCAGAACUCCGAUUGCGAAGGCAGCAUACCGGCGCGCAACUGACGCUCAUGCACGAAAGCGUGGGUAUCGAACAGGAUUAGAUACCCUUGUAGUC
rnacentral:rRNA from 1 species